CUUGGAGCUUCAACUUCAGGAUUCAAAAUCAUCAAAUGGUUUUGGUUGAAACUGAAGGUUCUUACGUCAAUCAAAUAGAGUUGGAGUCUCUUGAUGUUCAUGUAGGUCAAUCCUAUUCAGUUCUUGUCACAGCAAAUGAAGAUGCUGCUGAUUACUACAUAGUGGCCUCUCCUAAAGUGAGUAAUGCCACAGAUAAUAGCACUCUCGUCGGCGUUGCUGUGCUUCAUUAUGAUAACUCUACCACACCAGCUAAGGGGUCUCUCCCAAGUGGUCCAGAUCCCUUUGAUGUGCAGUUCUCCAUCAACCAAGCAAAAUCCAUCAGGUGGAACCUGACCACUGGAGCAGCAAGGCCUAAUCCUCAGGGAACGUUCAAUGUUUCAAAUGUGACAAUAUCUGAGACUUUCAUUCUAAACGCGUCUGUAGCAACUAUUGAUGGAUUAUCUCGCUACACUGUCAACAAUGUGUCUUACUUGACCCCAGAUACUCCAUUGAAGCUAGCUGAUUACUUUUCCAAUGGAACUGGAGUAUAUGAACUGGAUGCUUUUUCUAAGAACAGUUCAAAUGCAAAGGCCGUGAGUGGAGUUUUCG
rnacentral:sRNA from 1 species